GAUAUAUCAAUGUUUUUGUAUACAUUGUGUUAUUGUUUCGAUUUAAUGUACAGAUGUACUGUAUAAACAUAAAAAAAAUUGGACAAAAAUAUGACAUCGUACUCUCUCCACUCACAACACGAAAUCACGGAUAUCAAAGCGUGCAACAAAUAUUAAAAAAAACAGAAAAUGUAACUUUUGAUGUAAAAAAGUGUUGUAUCAAGUGCCUACUAGCCACCUUUACUGGGUUUCUCGGGUAGUGGUGGUAUCACUACUAAUAUUAAUGCUGAGUUGCAAGCGAUCUUACAUAGCUUCCAGAUGGCUUGGAACAAUGGUUAUCGAUAUGUUGAGUGUGAAUCGGAUUGUCAAUCGGAUUUGAAUUUUAUUCAGGAUAAAGUUCAUACAACUCACCUUUACGCACCUGUUAUUGACCUCAUCAAGAAGUUCAUUGAUUAUCCUUGGCUCUUGUCUUUCCAUCAUUCCUUGAGGGAAGGUAAUAGUUGUGCAGGCCGGUUAGCUAAAUUAUAUUCUAUGGUGGUAAUAUUCUUAAACAACCUUUUGGUACAUUAAACACCAAUCAAAGAAAUAAAAUGAUGGAUAGAGUGCAUCUCAUGUUAGCUCUCUGAUGCUGUAGAACUGGCAUUGGCUUGCAUCAUUCAUUUGCCUUAUUUCGUCCAGCACCAGAGCAGAAGCUUUCUGGGAUUUGCAAAGCCCUGCAACUGUAGUACCAUUAAAUCCUUGUACGAAGUACUAAAAGAAAAUCUUUUUGUAAAAUGUUAUUGUAACAUUCUGUUAAUCUGUUGUACACAAAGAAAAUAUUAAUUUGCAUGUUUUCCUUACAGUUUGGAGGUAACUCACGUGUCCUAAUGAUUGUAAAGAAUAUUCCAAGGA